rnacentral:rRNA from 1 species
UACGUAGGUGGCAAGCGUUAUCCGGAUUUACUGGGUGUAAAGGGCGAGUAGGCGGGAUUGCAAGUCAGAUGUGAAAACUAUGGGCUCAACCGAUAGAGUGCAUUUGAAACUGCAGUUCUUGAGUGAUGGAGAGGCAGGCGGAAUUCCCGGUGUAGCGGUGGAAUGCGUAGAUAUCACGAAGAACCCCGAUUGCGAAGGCAGCCUGCCGCAGCGUUACUGACGCUGAAGCUCGAAAGCGCGGGUAUCGAACAGG